rnacentral:rRNA from 1 species
UACGUAGGGUCCGAGCGUUGUCCGGAAUUACUGGGCGUAAAGAGCUCGUAGGUGGUUUGUCGCGUUGUUCGUGAAAACUCACAACUCAAUUGUGGGCGUGCGGGCGAUACGGGCAGACUAGAGUACUGCAGGGGAGACUGGAAUUCCUGGUGUAGCGGUGAAAUGCGCAGAUAUCAGGAAGAACACCCGUGGCUAAGGCGGCUCUCUAGUACGGUACUGACGCUGAGACGCGAAAGCGUGGGGAGCGAACAGG